UGUUAUGUGUGCAACUGUUUUCCGUCCUUUUGUAGAGAGUUGUUGCGUUUUCUAGUUUCAAGUGCACGUUUUCAAAUGAUCAAGUGAGGCUGACAGUCUGCGAUUUAUAUUUGUUAAAAUUGAAAAUGGAUUAUGCUGGUUAAGUGAAAUGUCACAACACGUUCUAAACUACUCUGUCGACAAACACACGUUUUACCUUGUCACCAUUCGUCCAUAUUGCUGCUGGCUGCGCUUUGCUACCACCGAAAAAUCUUGAAGAUUGCCCAUUAUUAUAAAAAAUAAGGGCUCAAAAACAGAGGCAGUGGGAGAACCUAUUCAAUUAUGGAAAGCCUGUGUUUGCAGAUGAAGAGAGAGGUCCUAAUGAAUGUCCCAAGAGACUAAUGGUGUGUUUCCGUACAGGAUUUACCCCAGUGUUUUACCUAAAAGGCUCAGACUUUUUGUUUCCAUCUAUGUGGCCCGGCACCCGUGUCUGGGCCGUGGCUCCGGCAGACCUGCUCUCACUUGGGGCCAAAGCCAGGCCACUGGUACUUUUUAGCCCACAUAUACAUAACAAUGGCUAACUUUAACUUCUCACACAGUAACUGUAUACCAGCGUAUUUUUGUAUAUAACUUUUGCUAACAUCGGUAGGCCUACCUAUAUGCCCUGGGUUAUAUGUGUAGGCCUACAUAUGUUAGCACAUGUUGUAUACAAAAACAGUUGAACAUCACACACAAUGUAUAAACCUAUUACAAUUGGAGAAGGCUGGAGGUCUGAUAGGUGUGCAAGGUUCUGUUUCAGCCCAGAAAUAACACACCUGAUUCAACUUAUCAAACCUAAUGAGUUGAUAAUCAAGUGUACUAUUGCUGGGCUGGAACAGAAGUCUGCUCACCCAGUAGAUCAGGGAUCAAUGGAGCAAGGUUAGUCACUGCUGGUAUCGAGUUUUUGUUCACCUGAAAUUGUUUUACUAAUAAUAGCCUACUUGUUACUAAUACUAACUUUUCUAUUGUUUAGACUAAGAUGUCUAAUCUUUACAUAAGAGUUAGGUUACUUGUACAUUUUGCAGUGAUGAAGUGUUUAACUUGUUUUAACUGUUAAAAAAAUAUUCAAAAUGAACUAGUGUCGAUGUUGAUUGAUCACAAUCCUGCAUUAAAGAAGAGAAGGGG